rnacentral:misc_RNA from 1 species
UGCUAAGACAAGUGCAACUAGCAUUCCACAACCUUGUCAAGUUCUGCCUUCUGAAGCCUGGUUACAGAAUGAGCGGGAGCUGAAACGGGAGAGGAGGAAACAAUCAAAUCGAGAAUCUGCUAGAAGGUCAAGAUUGAGGAAACAGGCUGAGACUGAAGAACUUGCUCAUAAAGUGCGAAUCCUUGACCUCUGAGAAUUUGGCACUUAAAUCAGAAAUGAAACAAUUGACCGAGAAAUCCGAUAAGCUAAGGCUGGAAAAUACAGCAUUACUGGAGAAGCUCAAAAAUUCACAGUUAGGACGUACACAAGAGAUUAUUUUAAACAGCAGUGAGGAGCAACGUGCCUCAGCAGUUGGUACAGAGAACCUGCUGUCAAGAGUUAAUAAUUCUGCCUCUGUUGAUAGAAGCACGAGGGAAGAGGGGGAGCUUUAUGAGAGAAACUCAAACUCAGGCGCCAAGCUGCAUCAACUCUUGGGUGCAAGUCCAAGAGCAAGAGCCGAUGCCGUGGCUGCAAGUUAAUUUUAGAAAAUAGUUUGUCUAGAGGCAACCAUGUAGUUUUGGCAUAUUACAAGCCCAAAACUACUACUAACAGCUAGCAGAGGGAUGGAAUUUAGGGUUGUAAUCCUUCUCUUGGACGUUUGAUCCACUUGUAAGUUACUUUUGUCAUGGCAGGAGUGAUGUAAUUUUAUCAGAACUCUGCGUGCUGUAAUGGUCACUGAAAGGUAAUGUAAAUUGAAGAGAAUUAGAGAUUUGGUUCAGGGAUGUUGAAACUUUCAACAUGCAUUUGUCUCUGAUGUAGACGUGUUUAUGAUACAUGUAUGGGAAGAGUACUUGAGAAUAUGUAUGCUUAUUGAUUACUACUGGAGUUCAACGGAGGUCCAAAGAUAAAAGUGUGCAGUGGGAAA